CUAACUUAACAAACAAAAAAUAUUUCAUGUUAUAAUUUAUGUAGCAAAAAUUUUAAAUUUUGCUUAAUUUGCAUUUAUUUAAACAGUCUUAAGACUUGAGAUCAUAUGUAUCUAUAUAUGUAUAAAAACUACAACUUUUCCUGGGAGGUUUCACAAAGAGGCUUGGAGCACUGGAGGCAAAUUAACUUUAAGCAAUCACAACAGCAGUACCUUGUUACCCUUUUUAUUUUUUGGGGACAAAUUGAACACAAUUUUCUACCACUUGGUGGAUUAGAUUGAAUAAUUGGUGGAGGAGGGGGUAGAUCUUGGUCAAGUACCUUGGUGAGCAUCAUUCUUAGUUCUCGUGGCAACCUUUCAUUGUACACCCGGAAUUUCAUGUGGUCCAGCACCAAUUCUCUUGCCAGAUUGAGCAUAAAUGUUUUUCUUCUCAUUUUUAGAUCACUGUCAGUACACAUUUGAUAUAAGACAAAGGCAUUAACUGACGUGUUGUUUAGGAGACACUAUGAAAAUAUAACAAAAAUACUGAUGUUAUUGUCUCUCAGACACCUACCUUAAUAUUGAUGUGGUUGACUCGCAGACACUUUUUCGCUUAAAAUGACACGUGUGCGUGCAUCAAUUGAUCUGAACAAACUAACAUAGGCAUAAGUACACAAUAAGAAGGUACAGAGAACGAGAGAGUAGAUGUAUGGAAAAUAACGGUACAAAAUACUCUUUUGUGUCUGUUGAAGUCUGCUAGACUACCACAUCAGUCACAGAGGGUUAAAGGAAAAUAUUGUAAUGUCGUACUUUGUUAUAAAAAUUGUCUUUUUUUUAUAAAUAUUCUCCACUCAAUGGAAAUAAUUGAGGAAUUGUUUGAUUUGAACCGCCUAGCAAUGAAACGUUUGUUGCAUGCACACAUAAUACUCAAAAUGGGUAGUCUACAUGGAGCAAAUUCAACAAGGUCUAUUUGGAUGAAGGUACAUACAUGUGUAUAUAAAUAUUGGUAUUAUAUGUGCAUAUUAUAAUGUAAUUCGUUUAUUAUAAUGUGUAUAUAAUUCCGACUCGUGGCCAAAUGUUUUGGGAAGUCGAUUGCCAGGUGAAUUCAGAUGCAUUCUUUAAAAGCAACUUCCGAAUGAAGCGCAAAUCAUUCAAUAAAUUGUGCAUUAUGUUGAAAGGCUUGGAGAAGAAAACCCCCAACUACCGGAAAACAAUUCAAUUAGAAAAACGCAUUGCUAUUGCUUUAUAUGCUCUUGGCUCUUCUGCAGUAUACCGAACAAUUGGAAAUAUGUUCGGAAUUGGUAAAAGCACUGUCUGCUCCAUUCUAAUUGAGUUCUGCCAUGAUGUCAGGCGAUGUUUGUGGCCAUUGUAUUUGAAGAAAUUCCCAAUGAACGAAUUUCAAGUGCGGGAGUAUAUAAAUGGUUUUGAGUCAUUGGGUUUCCCUCAAGUGUUAGGAGCUAUAGAUGGUUGUCAUAUAGAAGUUCGCCCAGCAGCAGAAGAUGCUGUUGACUACUACAAUUACAAAGGCUGGUAUUCCACAGUUCUUUUGGCUUUAGUAGAUGCAAGAUGCCGCUUUAUAUACAUCAACGUUGGUAGUUCAGGCCGUUGUAAUGACUCUUCAAUAUUUGAGAGUUCAUCUUUAAAAAGCCAGUUGGCACAAUCUAGUUUAUUUAAAGACAUGAGUAGACAAAUUUCGUCAAUUAAUGUACCAGUAGUUUUAUUGGGCGACUCUUCUCAAAGUUCAAACUAGAUGAACAUUUGAUGAAACCCUACCCUUUUUGUGUAAACCAACCUUCGGAUAAAAAAAAAUUUAACUAUGUUCUCUCGAAAUGUCGAAUAGUGGUGGAGAAUGCUUUCGGUCAUUUAAAGGCAAGGUUUAGACGCAUUGGCAAAGGCUUGGAUAACCACAUGGUCAACACGAGAGCUGUUAUCAAAGCGUGCUGCGUUUUGCAUAACUUUUUAAAUGAGGAAAAUGAUGAAAUUAAUGAAAAGUGGAUUGCAGCACAACAAAUCGAAAACGAAACUCGACAGUUGCCAGAAAACGUCUCUUACGUUUGUGGAAAUGUUAACCCAAGAGCAGAGGAAAUAAGACAAGCGUUUGUUUCAUAUUUCGCCUCAUUUGACGAUGGCCGAGUCGAGCUACCCGAUGUAGAAGGGCCAACGUCAGGGCUCGGGAGCGGCGACUCCCCUUCUUCCUCCAGGUAAAUCGUCUCCAUAUCACCUGAAAAUAUGCAUACAUAUUAAAAACUUUCUGCAAACAAAUAAAAGCAUAAAAAACAUUCCAUAAACGUUUUUCAUUUCGAAUUAUGGAACCUCCAAUACAUUUAAAACUUACCCUCG